GAGAGCUUGCUCUCUGGGUGGCGAGUGGCGGACGGGUGAGGAAUACAUCGGAAUCUACUUUUUCGUGGGGGAUAACGUAGGGAAACUUACGCUAAUACCGCAUACGACCUACGGGUGAAAGCAGGGGAUCUUCGGACCUUGCGCGAUUGAAUGAGCCGAUGUCGGAUUAGCUAGUUGGCGGGGUAAAGGCCCACCAAGGCGACGAUCCGUAGCUGGUCUGAGAGGAUGAUCAGCCACACUGGAACUGAGACACGGUCCAGACUCCUACGGGAGGCAGCAGUGGGGAAUAUUGGACAAUGGGCGCAAGCCUGAUCCAGCCAUACCGCGUGUGUGAAGAAGGCCUUCGGGUUGUAAAGCCCUUUUGUUGGGAAAGAAAUCCAGCUGGUUAAUACCCGGUUGGGAUGACGGUACCCAAAGAAUAAGCACCGGCUAACUUCGUGCCAGCAGCCGCGGUAAUACGAAGGGUGCAAGCGUUACUCGGAAUCACUGGGCGUAAAGCGUGCGUAGGUGGUCGUUUAAGUCCGUUGUGAAAGCCCUGGGCUCAACCUGGGAACUGCAGUGGAUACUGGGCGACUAGAGUGUGGUAGAGGGUAGCGGAAUUCCUGGUGUAGCAGUGAAAUGCGUAGAGAUCAGGAGGAACAUCCAUGGCGAAGGCAGCUACCUGGACCAACACUGACACUGAGGCACGAAAGCGUGGGGAGCAAACAGGAUUAGAUAGCCUGGUAGUCCGCGCCCUAAACGAUGCGAACUGGAUGUUGGGUGCAAUUUGGCACGCAGUAUCGAAGCU
rnacentral:rRNA from 1 species